rnacentral:rRNA from 1 species
UACGUAGGGUCCGAGCGUUGUCCGGAAUUAUUGGGCGUAAAGGGCUCGUAGGCGGUCCGUCACGUCGGGAGUGAAAACUCGGAGCUCAACUCCGAGCCUGCUUCCGAUACGGGCAGACUAGAGGUAGGCAGGGGAGAGCGGAACUCCUGGUGUAGCGGUGGAAUGCGCAGAUAUCAGGAAGAACACCGGUGGCGAAGGCGGGAUCCUGGGCCAGUACUGACGCUGAGGAGCGAAAGCGAUGGGGAGCAAACAGGG